rnacentral:misc_RNA from 1 species
UAUUAGUCAUUUUGCUUAUUAACAGCAACAACUGAAUAUAGUUUUACUAAACACUUGACAUAAAUCAGCUAUCAUAAGCUACCACCUAUCAAUUAUUAGCUAACAGUUAUUAACUGUAUCUAACAGUUAAACCAAACAGGCUCUAAGUUUACUAAAUACUUCAGUUCACCUGUUUUGGUGUCUAUCAGCUAUCAGCUGUACCAAACAGGUGAAUCAAACACCCCUUUAAUUGAUAGCUGUAAUUGAGUAAGUUGGUGAUUCUCUAUAGUAAAUUGUGGGAACAAUUAUUCUUGUACAUAUGUAGGAGGGUAAGAGUAGUGUCACCUGUCUUUCCUUUGGUUUUGUGCUUCAUAUAAUGAAUUAAUUCAAAAGCUGAUAAGACAUUGUCCGUAUUCAACCUACUCAGAACAAAAGCCGAUUGAAAAGAGAAAUAAUCCGAGGAAGGAUCAACUUCAACCUGUUGGCAAGAACCUUUGCAAUAAUCUUAUAAACGAUAUUGCAAAGAGAAAUAGGUCAUAAAGUCUACAUACUAUAUGGAGAAACAACUUUGGGAAUUAAAACUAUCAACGUAUCAUUCAAAGCCUCUAGAAAAGCACAAUGGGAGAGCCAAGAAAUGCAACUAGAGACCACAUUAGCUCCAACAAUCGGCCAAAAAUUUUGAUAGAAGGCAGGGUUCAGCCCAUUCGAACCUGGGCUUUUGUUUGGGUGCAUUUGAGAAAUGGCAAUUUUAAAUUCCUCCUCUAAAAAAGGUUUUAACAAAUUCAGAUUAUCAUCUGUGGUAACCCAUUGGUCAAUAAAUUCAAGAACCUUGUCAUAGGUACCAUUAGAGCAAAAAAAAAGCUCAUGAAAAUACUAUGAAACUAUAGAGCACAUACCUGAAUGAUCCUCAAUCAAGUUGCCCAACUGAUCAUGUAACACAUGAAUACAGUCAGACUUUUUAUGCUCUGAAGCUUGUAUAUGAAAGAAGCUUGUGUUUUGAUAACCAUAUUGCAACCAAAAAUUUUUAAAACGCUGCUUCCAAAACAUCUCUUCGUGAUCAAGCAACAAGUUCAAU